UAUUUAUGAUAACAAUUAAAUGAUUAAUCUAUUCAAUCAAUGUAUAAAUGUGCAUUCAUCUUUGCCAUAUUAUAUUAAUUUAGUUGAACAGUGGUAUACACUGAUAAAAAAUAAACAUUAAUGGCAUUAAUCAAAACACUUACUUUGUCAUUAAGAACACUGUCAUUGCAGCGGUUAUACUUGAAGCCUUCGCUUAACAUGUUUCAAAGCGAUCCGCUGUAAAAUGUUUUGGUCCUGCUCGAUUCUCGUUGACUUUGAGUACUGUAAAAUAAUGUAAAGUUUUUCAAAAGAUCCCCUGGGUCAAUGUGUUAGAAUCACAUAAACUUCACAGAUGCUGUCGGGAGAACAAGCACCCAUCUCCCGAGUGCCUCUCACGUAAGUUAUUAGAUGUUGAUGACUUACAAUCUUUCCCGUCAAAGAAAACAACCACGGGUUUAUCAAUGCCAUUAAAGUAUUAUUUUGUUUGUUGAUCACGAAGUACAAAGUAGAUGAGGAAAACUAGGACUCUGUGUACUCAACGCGCCACCAUUGUUUGUUUACAUUGCGUGGAAUGGUGGGCUGUAAUUUGUGGAGCGGAUUUAUUGCGUUCUGUAGAAAUGGAAGAGUGGGGUAUAUCACGUUUUGGGAAAAAAGGGAAAAAGGUUGCCAGAACAAUACUGCGGAUAUUGGAUUUUGUGUAAAAUUAAGAAUUUACUUUUAAAUACUGACCUGAUAUAAUUCUGAUUUUGGCAGUAACUUAUUUUUUUCCAAAAAUGGCGUUUAUCGCGUUUUGGAACCAAACCCUUCAAAUAUACCUGUGCGAUUUAUGACUAUGGUUUUGUGGUCCAGAGUAAAAAUUGGUAGAGCAUUACAUUAAAAACACAAAAGGGAACACACAUACAAAAUGUAAAGAUUGAAUGCACAAAUGUUUGCUGGUUUUAAAGUAACAUGGCCACUUACAUUGUUCAGAAGACUAGUUUAAACCUAACAACCGGCUUGGUCUAGUUUGAGCUGAUUUAAGCAUGGCUAUACUUGCGUCAUUAAUGAAACACCUUAUUUUAAACGAAAGCAUAUUGUUAAAAAUAUCAUUAAAAAUGAUCCAUCCAUCUAUGAUUUCAACGCAGUCCGCUCAUUUUCGCUGUCAUAGAGGUGUGAUGAUACAUCCUACUAUCCUCUUGGCCGUUAUUUCUUGGGUCUGUUCAUUUUCUCAUCAUUAGAAUAGACCGUGCGAUGGAAACGAGUGAAAAUUUUCACACUUCCCAAAUCCUGCCCUCAUCACAUUCAGACUAGAGCUUCAUAGUAUUACAUUUUCCUACAGUAUGAGCAAUGUUGCUUUGCCAGUGUUUUGAAGAAGUAUGCAGCCACUUUACAGCAGACGUUCUGUACAUAUCUGCCAGUCUUCAGAUGUGAAAAAUAAGGGCUUGUGGUUAGUUGUCACUAUGAGGCUUGACUUGUAUUGGAAAUCCAUCAGGGUGUGUGCGCAAGUGUGAAUCUCUGCUCGGAGACAACCAGAGACAGAGCACUCACCUUGCUUUUCCGAUGACUCAAUCCAUCUAUUUUAGGAACGUUAAGUACAUGGAAUAGAUGCCUGUCUUUGAUGAAACCUACAACUCUCUGCAAGCCUUUGUGCAAAACCUGUAAACUGCCACUGUCAGUUUUGUAUCCUUCUGGCCUGACGUGGGGAUUUAAUGACAUGAAUGUCUUUAAUUGUCUCUUGGGGCAUGAAUGACGAAACUCGUGGUAACUUUAAGGACGGAAUUUCUGUCAAACCUCAAGAUAUGAUGGAUAUCUCUUAACAUUGACAGAACAACUUUACCCGGUUGUUUACACUGGAAGUUUGUUUUUUAUGUACAGUAUAUGUAUGUUGCCAAAUAUUUGUGAGAAGCUUACAAAAUGUUUCUUGUCACAGGAUUUAACCUUGCACCAGGAGAGUUCUGAGUUUGUGUUUUUGUGUGUAUUACCUUUUCCCGCAAGGACUACACUAACUGUAAGUGUUUGCCAAGAUCGGUGAUGUUCAAAACUGAAAGCAGUAUUAUUAGCAGUAGAUUUUACAUUAUUCUUACACAGAUUUGAGGAAACUGGUUGUACACCAAAGGUCUGAACUUUUUGCCGGGCAAAAUCUAUUUUGCAUUCUUUUAUCGUAAAAUACAUUUGAUUCUUAAGAUGUUUUAUCAUUGCACAUUGUGACAAACAGCACAGGUCAUUGUGUAAAUCACAUCAUCAUCAUGCAAACUCUUUCAUUUAGCACCUGCUGAUUGAAGACUGCUAUUACUAUGAAUAAGGGACAAUGCAACACUCAAUAUGGCUGCUCUGGUGACGGAAGUCCCGCCUUCUUGUUAAGCUGACGAUCCACGUGGGCGGGUCCGACGUGUUUUUGUUUACAAACUAUUAAGUUUACCAUGUAUUAUAUAUUGACAGAGGACGGUAAUAAACUUGUCAUGCUAUAUGUCAUUACAAACGUCAAAGGGUUUAGAUUUGAUAUCUGUGUGUUGUUUCAUAAAAUAAAUGCAUAUGGAACAUUAAA